rnacentral:lncRNA from 1 species
GGGAGGAAGGAGACUUGCUUAACAUCAUAAAAUCUAAGGAGAAUGAGGUCAAAACAUUGUCUAGUGAGAAGCAAACUAUUGAAGAGGAGAGAGAUAACCUGAAGAUGUCAGUUGUAGACAUGAAGAAGGAGAUGGAAGAUCUGAGCAAUCAGCUCAAAGAUACAGUGGAUAAAUGCAGCGUCAUGGCAUCAGAACUAGAGAAGUCCCUGAAGGCUGAGAAAGAAGUGCAGACCUUGUUUGAAGAAAACCAGAACCUGAAGAACCAUAACUUGAUGCUGUCGGUGGAGCAUGAUAACCUGAAAGCACUUCAUCAUAACUUAGAUAUUGAGUGCUGUCAACUGAAGGCAACCAUUGCAGAAACCAAAGCUGAAAAUGAAUCAUUGACCACAGAAAAUCAUUCAGCUGAAAGAAAACUCCAGCAAUUGAGGGUAGAAAUAGAUGGCUUGAUGGCUGAGACCACAGUGAUAAUGAACAAUCUGGACAAGGAACGUAGUACUGCAGCAGAAGAAAAAGAAAGGCUAACAUCAGAAAAUUCUGUAUACAUGAGUGAGUUAGAGGAGGCACAAUCUAAUGUUAAGGAUCUAGAAAAGGAACUGGAGUCAACAAAAAGUGUUCUCAAUAAUCGUAUUGCGGAGCUAUGUAAGGAGAAGAAUUCUACCACAUCAGAGAUAGAACGGCUAGAGGCUUCUUUGAUGAAUCAUCAGAACGAUCUGUCACAACAACUUGAUAGGAUUUCAGAUAUGCAGAAGACUACUGAAAACCUGGAGCUGGCAAAUUCUAACCUGCAUAAUGAGAUUGUAAAAGUACAAGGACAAAAGAAUGAAGCUGUUGCUUCUAUAGUUAAUCUCGAGAGCAUGUUAGAACAGCAAGUACAAGAGAUUGCAAAUCUUCAGGAGGCCAACAAAGAACUCAAAGCAGCAAAGACUGAUCUACAUAAUGAGGUUAUGUUACUUCAACAGGAGAAAAUUGUAGCACUGACUCAGUUACAAGAAUAUGAGGCUCAAAUCAAGAAUCUUCGAAUUGACUUGGAACAGCAGUGCAACCAAAUUUCAGUUAUGCAGCAAGCAAAUGAAGAAACACAGGAUAAAAAUUCUAGCUUGCACAAGCAACUGGAAGAAACUAGGAUUCAUCUGCAAGAGGAGAUCAUUGCAUUACAAGGAGAGAAGGAAGAGGCCAUCAGUAGCUUACAGCAGUCAAAUGAUUCACUCAAGACCCUAGAAGUCCAGUUAGAGCAGCAAAGAGAACAAAUUUCUGUUCUGCAGCUUGCUCAUGAAGACUUGCAAAAUAGCAAUUCCAACCUAGAGAUGCAAUUGGAAGAGGCGAAGGUUAGUCACCAUGCUGAAAUUCUAGCAUUACAAGAUGAAAAGAACAAGAUUAUUUCAGAGUUGCAGCAGUCAGAUGGUUGUAUCAAGAACCUUAGAUUUGAGUUGGAGCAAGGAAAAGAGCAAACCUCAAUCUUGCUUCAUGCUAAUGAAGAUAUGAAGAAUAACAUUUCUGUCUUGGACAAGCAAUUGGAAGAGGUCAGGAGCAGUUUGCAUGCUGAAAUUGCAGAAGUACGUGCAGAGAAGGAGACAGCUCUAUCAGAGUUACAUAUGUCUCAGACUUCCAUCAGGAACUUAGAGAGUGUGGUAGAAAAGCAAACUGAGAACAUUUUAACUCUAGAAAAAGCUAAUGAUAAGUUAAACAAUAAAAUAUGUAUCUUGACAGAGCAAGUAGAACAAGCCAAGGCUGAGCUGCAUAAGGAGGUAGCGGCAAUACAAGAAGAGAAGGAUACAGCACUAACACAAUUAAGACAGUCAGAGUUUUCAAUACAAGAUCUUGAGAAUGAGGUGACACGACUGAAAGACGAACUUUCAAUUCAGCUGGAAAAAAAUUCCACCUUGGACAAGCAAUUUGAAGAAUUCAAGAGCAAGCUGCAUGCUGAAAUUUUAGACCUACGCGCAGAGAAGGACACAUCUCUAUUGGAGUUACAGACAUCUCAGGAUUCUGUAAGGAAUCUUGAGAUUCUGGUUGAAAAGCAAACUGAGAACAUUUCAACUCUGCACCAAGCUAAUGAUGAGUUACAGAAGAACAUCUACACUUUGACUGAGCAAUCACAACAAGCCAAGGAGGAGAUGCAGGAUGAGUUGAAGGCAAUACAAGAAGAGAAGGAUACAGUGCUAACACAACUGAAGCAGUCAGAGACUUCAGUACAAAAUCUAGAGGAUGAGGUGACACGACUGAAAGAGGAACUUUCCGUCCAGCUAGAAAACAAUUCCACCUUGGACAAGCAGUUUGCAGAAGCUAGGAGCAAUCUGCAUGCUGAAAUUUCAGACCUACGUGCAGAGAAGGGCACAUCUCUACUGGAGUUACAGAUGUCUCAGGCUUCUGUCAGGAAUCUUGAGAUUUUGGUCGGAAAGCAAACUGAGAACAUUUCAACUCUACAGCAAGCUAAUGAAGAGUUACAAAAGAACAUCUACACUUUGACUGAGCAAUCACAACAGGUCAAGGUGGAGAUGCAAAGUGAUUUGAAGGCAAUACAAGAAGAGAAGAAUGCGGUGCUAUCACAACUGAAGCAGUCAGAAACUUCAGUACAAAAUCUUGAGAAUGAGGUGAUACGACUGAAAGAGGAGCUUUCUGUCCAGCUAGAAAACAAUUCCACCUUGGACAAGCAGUUUGAAGAAGCCAGGAGCAAUCUGCAUGCUGAAAUUUCAGAGCUACGUGCAGAUAAGAACACAUCUCUAUUGAAAUUACAGACGUCUCAGGAUUCUGUCAGGAAUCUUGAGAUUGUGGUUGAAAAGCAAACUGAGAACAUUUCAACUCUACAGCAAGCUAAUGAUGAGUUACAGAAGAACAUCUACACUUUGACGGAGCAAUCACAACGAGACAAGGCGGAGAUGCAGGAUGAGUUGAAGGCAAUACAAGAAGAUAAGGAUGCAGUGCUAACACAACUGAAGCAGUCAGAGACUUCAGUACAAAAUCUAGAGGAUGAGUUGACACGACUGAAAGAGGAGCUUUCCGUCCAGCUAGAAAACAAUUCCACCUUGGACAAGCAGUUUGCAGAAGCCAGGAGCAAUCUGCAUGCUGAAAUUUCAGACCUACAUACAGAGAAGGACACAUCUCUACGGGAAUUACAGACGUCUCAGGCUUGUGUCAGGAAUCUUGAGAUUGUGGUUGAAAAGCAAACUGAGAACAUUUCAACUCUACAGCAAGCUAAUGAUG